rnacentral:rRNA from 1 species
UACAGAGGGUGCGAGCGUUGUCCGGAAUUACUGGGCGUAAAGGGCGCGUAGGCGGCCUGGCAAGUGGAAGGUGAAAUCCCUCGGCUUAACCGAGGAACUGCCCUCCAAACUGCUUGGCUUGAGUCCGGGAGAGGUGAGUGGAAUUCCCAGUGUAGCGGUGAAAUGCGUAGAUAUUGGGAGGAACACCAGUGGCGAAGGCGGCUCACUGGACCGGAACUGACGCUGAGGCGCGAAAGCGUGGGGAGCAAACGGG